UUUAAAUGUAAAUUAUUAUACUAAAGUAUUAAUAGUUAAGUUCUUUAAAUUUAAAGAUUUUGGCGGUAUUUUAGUCUAUUCAGAGGAACCUGUUCUGUAAUUGAUAAUCCACGAUUAAUUAAACUUAAUUUAAUAAUUUGUAUAUCGUCGUUUAUAAAUAAUUUUAAAAGAAUUAAAAUUUUUAAGAUUUUAAAUUAAAAAAUAUAUCAGAUCAAGGUGCAGUUUAUAAUUAAGAAGAAAUGGGUUACAAUAAAUUUAUUUAUAUGGAUAAGUAAAUGAAAUUUUAUUUUGAAAGAGGAUUUGAUAGUAAUAAAAUUAAAUUUAAUUUUAUGAUUUUAGCUCUAAAAUAUGU
rnacentral:rRNA from 1 species